rnacentral:tRNA from 1 species
CGGGGCGUAGCGCAGCCCGGUAGCGCACCUGCUUUGGGAGCAGGAUGUCGGAGGUUCAAAUCCUCUCGCCCCGA